rnacentral:pre_miRNA from 1 species
AGGUGGCUGGACAGCUUGGUGUGUAAACAGAAUAUCAUCAAGCAGUCCAUCCAUCCUUG